UGGAAGUCCACGAUCAGCAAUGAACUUGGCAGGCUAAGAACGAGACUGAGCAAACGUCUGAGUAAAGUCCUUUCUUAUCUAUAAUUCCAGCUCCACUAGACAAGGAGGGUGAAGGGAAAUUAAAGACACCGUCAGAAUAAAAGAGAACCAGAGUCCAGAGGAGCAAUUUACAAUCCGCUUCCCGAAAUCAGCUGAAAACUCCUGACGGGAGUUCUGUUCGGCCACUCCUAAAUCUGGCUAUAUAAAUUAUUCACUAUAUCCUACUCCCUCCAUUCACCACCUUUCAGAUAAGACACAGAACCCAAAGAAUUCAAGGAUGGUGUGCCCAUGUUCACACAGUUCCUAAGCGGCAAGAUGGGAAUUUGAAUAGAACCCGCCUGACAAAAGUCUGAAUUAACGCUCUUCUCCAAAAUGCCUAAAUGGAUGUGGUGUAGACAUGUGCAGAGACAUGGAUGCUAGAAUAAAGCCUAGAAGAACACAGAUAGCGUCUGGUCUUCCGAGAAAACGAGACUAGAAGAAUGUGAAAGGCUGUCCUCCAUGGGUUCUGUCACUUCCCCGUGAGAUCAGCCCUCCGCCAGUCAACUCGGGUCGGCCAUGCACAGCCCAUCCCCAACCCCACAGCUCUUCCCCAACCUCUGGGAACCUCUGCCCCCCAACUGUGAGCACAGGGGAGGGAGUCCAGGUGGGUACCCACCUUUGACUCUGGGCUUCCCUCCCCCAGGAGACCCAACCAGCUCUCGCUGGAAUCCUGAGAGCUGGUGGGGCCAACAGCCAUCCUGUGGCCCCCUGGGGGCUGAGGAAGGGCCACCAUCAUGGACGCAGAGCUGGAAGAAAAUGCCCAUAUGAUGGAAUCAGAAGCAGUGAAAGCUGAAUUUAGGUUUUUGGUCCAUCUGCACUCUUAGAGAGGAGCAGAGGCCUAAAGCUUUCUGAGAGUCUUCCAGAAAACUGAGCAGAGGUGAGUGCAGCCUCACCCUGUGGUGCUACAUCAUCCCAUCUUUGAAUAAAAGGAACCCUUUCCCGUGGCUCCUGUCUCCUUCGGACACAACUCCGUCCGUCUUUCGAGCUUCCUUGUGUUCCUGUACAAAACAUGCCCCUGCCUCAUCUUGUGAACCAGAUUCCCCCCACCUGGAAUCAGCAGGGUUUCCAAGGAUCCGUGCCGACUGUCCUGGGGCAGGAUUGCCAGAUCACAGUUCUGUUCCGAGCCUCUGCUCGCCGCUGCCUGUUUGGUAUAAUGUGAGGACUUUUCCAGAGAACCAGAAGACAGGUACUUCUUCAGAGUCUCCUGCUCACCAGGCAUGCUGCUGGCCACCAGCGCUCAGCACCAACCGUCAUGUGGUCCUUCCUUUCACCCGGGUUACCAGGAAGUCUGGGCUACUGGAUGAGCAUUCAGGCCAGCAACUGUUGUACCUGCCCAUAUGUCGUCUGAGCUCACGCUCUCUUCUAUGGCACUCUUUCAUAAAGAGUUUUCCUGCCUCAACUGGGGUAUAGACUACAAAUGUGUCAAGAUCCCUGAAAUCUAAUGCUCAGGGGGAGUGCAACAAAUUUCCACCACGUCAAGAAACAGAGAUGAUACAGUCCCGGAAUCUGCAUCCCAAAGUGUCUCCAGAAGAUCGUUCUUUACAAGGAAACACUCCGCAUAUCGGGACAGAUGACCGAGCAGAGCUCUGUGAAGGGUAGAGUCGGGUGCAGAUCCGUAAGGACUCUACACAGGUCAAGAAGAACGAAGGCAGACCUGACUGCCUGCUGAAGCGGUCACCUGGCAAGGGCACGUGAAGGUGGCAUACCACGGGGUGAGGGAAGCUCUGGAACCAGGCAUUGACUCUGACCCACAAACCCCCGACUUUGAAUAGGAAGACCAAGUACAAAGAAUUAAGAAAUGAGAUGCUACUCACGAUCUCUAAGGCUUUCUUGUGCCACACUGGACACUGAUGUCUUGUGGUUGGAAAAGUUGUAAAAACGGAGGGAAGUGAAAUUUUUGAUCUUUCAACCAAGAAGUUACAAAAUAUGUUCAAUCGAUUAUA